GAUGAACGCUGGCGGCGUGCCUAAUACAUGCAAGUCGAGCGAACAGACGAGGAGCUUGCUCCUUUGACGUUAGCGGCGGACGGGUGAGUAACACGUGGGUAACCUACCUAUAAGACUGGGAUAACUUCGGGAAACCGGAGCUAAUACCGGAUAAUAUUUCGAACCGCAUGGUUCGAUAGUGAAAGAUGGCUCUGCUAUCACUUAUAGAUGGACCUGCGCCGUAUUAGCUAGUUGGUAAGGUAACGGCUUACCAAGGCAACGAUACGUAGCCGACCUGAGAGGGUGAUCGGCCACACUGGAACUGAGACACGGUCCAGACUCCUACGGGAGGCAGCAGUAGGGAAUCUUCCGCAAUGGGCGAAAGCCUGACGGAGCAACGCCGCGUGAGUGAUGAAGGUCUUCGGAUCGUAAAACUCUGUUAUUAGGUAAGAACAAACGUGUAAGUAACUGUGCACGUCUUGACGGUACCUAAUCAGAAAGCCACGGCUAACUACGUG
rnacentral:rRNA from 1 species